CAAUUGAAGAGUUUGAUUCUGGCUCAGAUUGAACGCUGGCGGCAUGGCUAAAACAUGCAAGUCGAACGAGAACCCCGCAAGGGGGGACAGUGGCGGAAGGGUUAGUAAUACCAUCGAACGUACCCCGAGGUGAGGGAUAGGCAUGGGAAACUGUGCGUAAUACCUCAUAAUCUCCAAGGAGCAAAGGCUUGCUGCCUUGGGAGCGGCGAUGGUCCUAUCAGGUAGUUGGCGGGGUAAAGGCCCACCAAGCCUAAGACGGGUAGCGGGUGUGAGAGCACGACCCGCAACAUCGGGACUGAGACACUGCCCGGACUCCUACGGGAGGCUGCAGUAACGAAUAUUCCGCAAUGCGCGAAAGCGUGACGGAGCAAUGCCGCGUGCAGGAUGAAGCAGCUUCGCUGUGUAAACUGCUGUCAGGGGCUACUAACUUAUGAAGAGCCUCAGAGGAAGGACCGGCUAAACUCGUGCCAGCAGCCGCGGUAAUACGAGUGGUCCAAGCGUUAGUCGGAAUCACUGGGCUUAAAGGGUGCGUAGGCGGAUCGGAAAGCGUCUUGUGAAAUCCCCCGGCUCAACCGGGGAACAGCAGGGCGAACUACCGGUCUUGAGGAAGGUAGAGGCCGGCGGAACGAUCGGUGGAGCGGUGGAAUGCGUAGAGAUCGAUCGGAACGCCAAAGGUGAAGACAGCCGG
rnacentral:rRNA from 1 species